UUUAUUGAGGAUUUGAUCCUGGUCCAGGAUGAACGCUGGCGGCGUGGAUAAGGCAUGCAAGUCGAACGCCCAGCCCCUCUUUUGAUCUGAUACAAAUUGUGAUACUGAAAGAAUAUGCAUUUUGUCUACAUCAUUCAACAUACGCAAAAUAAACAGAUUUAUAUUGGUUGUACCAAUGAUCUAGAAAGAAGAUUGUUUGAACACAAUAUUGGCCAAACAACAGCCACCCAUCGUAUUUCCGGUGAAUGGGUAUUGCGGUAUGCAGAAAUGUAUAUUGAUAGACAAAAUGCAUUAGCUCGUGAAAAUAAAUUAAAACAUCACGGUAGUGCAAAACAAAAGUUGUUAAAAAGAAUACAAAAAAGUUUACUAUAAGAUCAAAAGUGGGGCUGGGAGUGGCGAACGAGUUAGUAUUACCUUGGAAUCUACCCCCAAGUUGGGAAUAACUCCGCGAAAGCGGAGCUAAUACCCAAUGGCAUGGUAGCCGAUUUAUGUUUACAAGGGUUUUGUAGAAAUCCUAAAUUCAAAAUCCUAAAUUCUAAACAAUAUAAAAAUUCAAAUUUCAAAAUCCAAAACCCGUGUUUUGAGUUUUGGAUUUUGGGUCGAAAGCAAAAAGUUUUGCUUUUGACGGGCAGAGCCCGGGAAUUUUCCGAGAAGGAAAAUUUUUGAAUUUGUUUAGGAUUUAGAUAUUAGGAUUUAGAAUUUCCGAGCGGCUUUUGCGAACAGAAAUCGGUUACCAUUAAAGGCUCGCAAGAGCCGCUCGGGGAGGAGCCUCGGUCCUAUCAGCUAGUUGGUGAGGUAAUGGCCCACCAAGGCGAUGACGGGUAGGGAGGGUGAGAGCCCGAUUCCCAACGACGAGACUGAGACACGGCUCGUACACCUACGGGUGGCCGCAGUCAAGAACAUUCGACAAUGGGCGAAAGCCUGAUCGAGCGACGCCGCGUGGAGGAUGAAGGCCUUCGGGUCGUAAACUCCUUUUUAUCGGGAACAAGUCCGGCCCUUUUUGGGUUUAAUUUUUGACAAAAAAACUCUUAGUGCGACCACGCGCUAAGAGAAUAGAUUACUUGGUCUGUUAUUUCUAUUAACAGAUAACAGACUCAAACUUCCGACAAAAAUAGAGAACCAUGCAAAGAACUGUGAGAAUAAACCGUUUUCAGGUAAGUAACUAAAUCCUACCCAGAAAAUGAAACAAGCCUCGAGUAAAUUAGGAAGAAACCCUGAUUUCAUCUUAUUACCUCCGUGGGUUGAGAACAGUGAUCUAAUUAUACAUUAUUUAUUAGUAAUGUCAAGAACCUAAAAAGGGUCGGAUUGAGCGUACCGAUAGAAUAAGACGCUGCAAACUUCGUGCCAGCAGCCGCGGUAAUACGAAGGCGUCAAGCGUUAUCCGGAUUUAUUGGGCGUAAAGGGUCUCCAGGCGGUCUUGUUAGUCCGGUGUUAAAUCUCAACGCUCAACGUUGAGGCCGCAUUGGAAACGGCAAGACUGGAGGCAGGUAGAGGCAUAUGGAACUCACGGUGUAGGGGUGAAAUCCGUUGAUAUCGUGGGGAACACCAAAAGCGAAGGCAAUAUGCUGGGCCUGUCCUGACGCUCAUGAGACGAAAGCGUGGGGAGAGAAUAGGAUUGACGCUCGCGUUUUUGAUGUGAAAUUUUUCACUCGGGUUUUGGAUAGUUACGCGCUCGCCUUGAAGUAAAUUUUCCAGCUACGAUUUUGGACAGCAGUACCUCUUUUUCUUGCGUUGCUCGCACACUCGGCUUGCUGUUGCAAAAAUCUCCGCAAUGGAAAAUUGUACUCCAAUGCUCGCUCGUUAUGUCCGAGCCAGAGAUGGAAAUUUCAUCACCAAAAACGCCUGCUUAAGAGAUUUAAAGAAAGGAAAGGAGAAACCAAUGAAAGAAUAUGUUUUGCAUUAUAGUUUGGAAAAUUUAGAAACCAACAGUUCCGAAAUGCAUCGACUUACUGUUCAAGCUAGUGAUUCCGUUGAAGCGAUUAAACAGAUCGCUAAAAAAUUGAUGCUGCUUGAAGAAGAGUCAAAAGGUAAGAAAAAAGUUUGGUUGGUUGCUGUUGAGUGGCAAGGCGUAGAUGUAUUUCAUAUAACUGAUGAACAAGCUAAUUUUCUAAGGUGUAUUGUUGAUGAAGUUUACUGCUCUUAGAACCGGAAUUGGUUUAUAAAAAAUCUCUUAAGCGGACCGCAGGGUAUGCGGUGAGAAACUAGUCCCUCCGACUGAAAAUGUCGGAGAAAAAACUCAGCUGUAUCGGUGAAAACCCUAUCCAUAGAAAUAUGGAGGAUAAUACCGAGGCAACCUCUUUUUAGAGGAAGUCCGUAGAGACUAUACGCUGGGCCUGAAUGAAAAAUGUAAGAUGGGCGAGUGGAAACUUGCUCGCCCAAAAUUUUUCUUUCAGUGAUGAUAUAGUCCGAACUUUGCAGUAAUGCAAAGAGCGCAACAGAAAUGAUGCGCCCGCAACAUUUAAAAUUGAAAAUUUAGAAUUUAAAAUUUCAAUUUUGUUGCGCGCAACAAAAUUGUAGAUACCCUAGUAUUCCACGCCCUAAACGAUGCAGACUCGCUAUUGGAAGUAUCGACCCUUUCAGUGGCUAAGCUUACGCGUUAAGUCUGCCGCCUGGGAAGUACGGCCGCAAGGCUAAAACUCAAAGGAAUAGACGGGAGUUCGCACAAGCGGUGGUCCAUGUGGUUCAAUUCGACGACAACCGAGGAACCUCACCAGGGCUUGAAAUGCUGAAAAAAGUCGGGGGAAACCCCGAUGUACCACAAGGAUGUCAGCACGGGUGCUGCACGGUCCUCGUCAGUUCGUGGUGUAAACUGUUCCCUUAAGUGGGGUAACGAACGCAACCCCUAUCGUCUGUUACAAGUGUCAGACGAAACUGCUUCUGUAUAAGGAGAGGAAGGUGGGGAUGACGCGAGAUCAGCGUGGCCCUUUGAUGCCCUGGGCUACACACGUGGAACAAUGGAGCCGACAAUGCGUCGCAAAGCCGCAAGGCGGAGCCAAUCGCACCAAACGGCCCCUCAGUUCAGAUUGAGGUCUGCAACUCGACCUCAUGAAGAAGGAAUCGCUAGUAAACGCGGAUCAGCUAUGCCGCGUUGAAUACGUUCUCGAACUUUGUACUCACCGCCCGUCACGUCAAGAGAGCCGGGAGUAGCCGAAACUCGGGGUUACCCGAACUACGCUAAGCUCGGUGAUAGGGACGAAGUCGUAACAAGGCAUGCGUAGCGGAAGCUGUGCAUGGAACAUUUCUUUU
rnacentral:rRNA from 1 species